rnacentral:rRNA from 1 species
UACGUAGGGUGCAAGCGUUAAUCGGAAUUACUGGGCGUAAAGCGUGCGCAGGCGGUUUGGCAAGAAAGAUGUGAAAUCCCAGAGCUUAACUUUGGAACUGCAUUUUUAACUGCCAAGCUAGAGUAUGUCAGAGGGGGGUAGAAUUCCACGUGUAGCAGUGAAAUGCGUAGAGAUGUGGAGGAAUACCGAUGGCGAAGGCAGCCCCCUGGGAUGAUACUGACGCUCAUGCACGAAAGCGUGGGGAGCAAACAGG